rnacentral:rRNA from 1 species
UGAGGAAUAUUGGUCAAUGGCCGGGAAGGCUGAACCAGCCAAGUCGCGUGAGGGAAGACGGCCCUACGGGUUGUAAACCUCUUUUGUCAGGGAGCAAACCUCUCCACGCGUGGGGAGUCGAGAGUACCUGAAGAAAAGCAUCGGCUAACUCCGUGCC